GGCCGCCCGCACCAUGAAGAUCUGGACUUCGGAGCAUGUCUUUGACCACCCAUGGGAAACUGUUGCCACAGCUGCAAUGCAGAAAUACCCAAACCCUGUGAACCCGAGUGUGGUGGGAGUUGAUGUGUUGGACAGACGUGUAGAUCCCUCCGGAAAGUUGCACAGCCACAGACUUCUGAGCACAGAGUGGGGACUGCCUUCCAUUGUGAAGUCUCUUAUCGGUGCAGCAAGAACCAAAACAUAUGUGCAAGAACAUUCUGUAGUUGAUCCUGUAGAGAAAACAGUGGAACUUAAAUCUACUAAUAUUUCAUUUACAAAUAUGGUUUCAGUAGAUGAGAGACUUAUAUACAAACCACAUCCCCAGGACCCAGAAAAAACUAUCUUGACUCAAGAAGCCAUAAUCACUGUGAAAGGAGUCAGCCUUAGCAGUUACCUUGAAGGACUGAUGGCAAGUACCAUAUCUUCAAAUGCUAAUAAAGGCCGAGAAGCAAUGGAAUGGGUGAUACAUAAAUUAAAUGUCGAGAUUGAAGAACUGACGGCUUCAGCAAGAGGAGGCAUAAGGACUCCAAUGGCAGCAGCAGCGUUUGUAGAAAAAUGAUAAUGCCAGUUGGUAGAUAACGUUGGGUGCCCCAGGUCUCUCCAAGCUGGCAAUAUUUAUUUGUUAUUUAAAAAAUACAACUCUAUUUUAGGUAGAAUUUUUUUUUAAUAAGCUGAUUUAGGCUAUGUGACUUGAUCAAAACAGAGAUACAGGGCUUCUAAAUAAAGGGACCAUCUGAAAUUAGUGUUGUUUGAAAUGGCUAAUUUUAAGGUUUCCAGUAUUUAUAUGAAAAUUUAAGUUUUCUUAAAAGUACUUGGAAAUUGGUAUUGACAUUGACUCUCCUUAAGGUAGAAUUUUAAAGCUUUUCAUGCAUUGGAACUCUACCUGGCUUUGGACCAACCCCAAAACAAAGCAGAGAUUGCCCUGCUGCUGUAACUUCAACAGCUUGCAUGAGAGAACUCACUUUAAAAGGAGAAAUUAUAUACUUUUAAAAGAUAUUAAUUUGUAUAACUUGCUCUGCUAUAAACCACCUUUAAAAACCA